GUGGGAGCCAGGGGUGUGGGCUCCUGGGAGCAUGGGGUCCUGCGUUUAUGGGGUGCAGGGCACACAGGGACCUGGACACAUGGGGCUCCUGGGAGCAUGGUGUCUAGACCACAGGGAGAGCUGUGCACAGGGACCAUGGGACACCGGGACUCCUGGGUGUAGGAGGCUGCAGCCACACUGUGCCCAUGCACACAGGGUCCCGGGCAGGCGGUGUCACCUCCCUGCCUGCCCUGGCAGGGCUCAGACUGGCCCAGGCCAGUUCUCAGCUCACCCUCUGCUCGUCCCCUGCAGGUGGCCCUGGCCAGAGGCUGGCGCUGCCCUGGAGCCAGUGCUGCUCGUGGGCUCCCACAUGUGUGUGCACAUGUGAUUGCUGCAACACUCGUGUCUCUUGCUUGUCUCCCAGGUGGUGACAUUUGCCUGCAGCCCUUCCUGCUGACAGUUACCUGUCAGAUUUUGGCUACAGAGGAGCGAGGAGGUGGUGGUGGUAAAGGCCCUCUCUGGGAAGCUGCUUGGAGUGGCAGGGAGGGAGCCUGCAGGAUGCUGCCAACCAUCCCCUCUACCCCAGUGAGAACGAAGCUGUCAAGGAACAACCACUGCCUUUGUCAUGCCUCUUGUGAACCGCCAUUCAGCCAGGGAAACAAUGCUUAAGCUGUGCUUCAUUUGCUUUGUAACUUCUUCCCUACUGUGUUAUGCUCACACCAAAACCCAGGUCCCUGUGAGGAGAUGCAGGCAAGUGGGUGAGCUGGGCAGGACACUGCACACAGAUGUCACACUCCGCAACAUUUGGUGACCACAUCUGAAUGAAGAGAAACUGGGAUCCACCACAGCUCCUGGGGUCUCAGGUGUCAGCCGUGGCACGGAAAAUCCUCUUUCAUCACUCGUGUCGGAUUCCAGAUGAAAACUCAUUAAAGACAACCAUUUCCACCACCCCAUGCUGUUGCCAGGCACUCACCUGUCAUCACUUGCAUCCUAUUACUGCAAGCAUGGGAUGAUUUCUACCAAAGUUUGGGAUCAAAAUAAAUGGUUUUAAACCA